GUGCUGCGGCGCCCGGGAAGUGCCAUCGGGCAGGUCGGACCGUCGGAAAGGAAACUCGGCCCGGGGUUGCCUAAUUGCACCAGGUUUUUCCAUCAUGGGUCUGAAAAGACCAUCAAAAUGCUCUGUGAUCUCAGGUGUCGAGGAUCUGACAACUUGAUCAGGAAAAGCAGCUACAGGAUCUGAGACAGAUGUUACUCUUUUCUUGCAUGAUUUGCAUGGCCAUCACAGGGACAGAUGGCUUUAUUUGUGAAACUUCAAUGCCUGAUGGAAGAAUGCCAAAGAAAAUUCCUGUUUCCAAUCCCAAUGUGAGUUUCCAUAAUUGAUAUUAGAAAAAAAUUAGUGUUAUACUGACAAGGCUCAAUUAAAACACUGAUCAGUAUUGCCCUUCAUUAUGUGAAUGUGAAUGCAUAAAAAGUGGGACACUGAUGAUGGUAAAUAAAGAACUGGCAGAAGAA